AUUGAACGCUGGCGGCAUGCCUUACACAUGCAAGUCGAACGGUAACGGGCCUUCGGGUGCCGACGAGUGGCGAACGGGUGAGUAAUACAUCGGAACGUGCCCGAUCGUGGGGGAUAACGAGGCGAAAGCUUUGCUAAUACCUCAUACGAUCUACGUAUGAAAGCAGGGGACCGCAAGGCCUUGCGCGGACGGAGCGGCCGAUGGCAGAUUAGGUAGUUGGUGGGAUAAAAGCUUACCAAGCCGACGAUCUGUAGCUGGUCUGAGAGGAUGAUCAGCCACACUGGGACUGAGACACGGCCCAGACUCCUACGGGAGGCAGCAGUGGGGAAUUUUGGACAAUGGGCGCAAGCCUGAUCCAGCCAUGCCGCGUGCAGGAUGAAGGCCUUCGGGUUGUAAACUGCUUUUGUACGGAACGAAAAGCCUUCUUUUAAUACAGGAGGGUCAUGACGGUACCGUAAGAAUAAGCACCGGCUAACUACGUG
rnacentral:rRNA from 1 species